rnacentral:rRNA from 1 species
GAUGAACGCUGGCGGCGUGCCUAAUACAUGCAAGUCGAGCGAACGGACGAGAAGCUUGCUUCUCUGAUGUUAGCGGCGGACGGGUGAGUAACACGUGGAUAACCUACCUAUAAGACUGGGAUAACUUCGGGAAACCGGAGCUAAUACCGGAUGAUAUUUUGAACCGCAUGGUUCAAAAGUGAAAGACGGUCUUGCUGUCACUUAUAGAUGGAUCCGCGCUGCAUUAGCUAGUUGGUAAGGUAACGGCUUACCAAGGCAACGAUGCAUAGCCGACCUGAGAGGGUGAUCGGCCACACUGGAACUGAGACACGGUCCAGACUCCUACGGGAGGCAGCAGUAGGGAAUCUUCCGCAAUGGGCGAAAGCCUGACGGAGCAACGCCGCGUGAGUGAUGAAGGACUUCGGAUCGUAAAACUCUGUUAUUAGGGAAGAACAUAUGUGUAGGUAACUGUGCACAUCUUGACGGUACCUAAUCAGAAAGCCACGGCUAACUACGUG